rnacentral:rRNA from 1 species
UACGAAGGGGGCUAGCGUUGUUCGGAUUUACUGGGCGUAAAGCGCACGUAGGCGGCUUUCUAAGUCAGGGGUGAAAUCCUGGAGCUCAACUCCAGAACUGCCUUUGAUACUGGAGAGCUUGAGUCCGGGGAGAGGUGAGUGGAACUCCGAGUGUAGAGGUGAAAAUUCGUAGAUAUUCGGAAGAACACCAGUGGCGAAGGCGGCUCACUGGCCCGGUACUGACGCUGAUGGUGCGAAAAGC